rnacentral:misc_RNA from 1 species
GGAUCCAAGAGAUCAUAAAGGAGUGUGUCCCUUCAACUCAAGGAAAAUAGUUUAAUAAAAAGUGGGAUGUAUUUUUGUGUAAAAUGGAUGACCAAAUAAUCAGCUACACCUUAUGAAUAUGCUGUAUUUCAUUUGAAUCUUGCUUUUGUAUGAUCCCACAAGCUUGUCGAGUUCUUGUAACAAUGCAAAAUAUACCUAUAGAACAGUGCAUCAAAAUAAGGGAAGCUGCUUCAUGGAAAGCUUUGAUUAAUUCCUUAAGGAGAUGAUGAUCAUAUGUAUUCUUAUGGAGGAAAAGAAAUAAAGCAUAAGUUGUGUGUGAC